UUAAGGCUUUUGAAACAAAAGCUAAUAUUCUGAAAAUGCAGGUCAUCACGACGUUCAUUUUAAAAACAAUGUAUUUAUUCUCUUGUUUACGGCUAGAUCGGCUCGUUCUGAAAAUCUGCAUUCUCGGAAGUGGUACAGAUUCUGAAUUACAGCCCAAAGUAAAAUAAAAUCCUCUAUCUGUCAUUCCUUCCAGGCCUAAUGAUAUUGAAAUUGCACAUUCUCUGCAUGCCUUGAGGCUGAAAAAUACAAAAAUGAUUGUGCUUUUGAAUAUGACUCAGGCAAUUUUUAAUAUAUUCCUAAUAUUGGAACAGAGGGAAGUACUAAAUGAAAUUUUGCCGGAAAAGUGAGAUGGUAGCUUGCAUUGAAUGUGCUAUUUCUCUAUAUUUUGUUAAACCAAAAGAGUGUAUAUACAUUCUUGCUGUUUUAAUUUUUAAAUAUCUUUCUUCAUUCUGCCAUAUUUUAUAGGCUACACAUAAAUUAUUUCUUUUAUACUCACUUUGAAUGAAAUUAGUGAAUUAUAUUUUAAAAUCUAUCAAAAUAGUUAUCUUUAGAAAUUACUCAUAUCUUUUGUUCCUUAUUUUGCACAUACUUAAUUUUUUUGUAGUUUAAUAAUAAUAGUGUCUAUUAAAUAUUUUUUUCUGAAGUUCAAAUUAAAAUAUAGCACAUUUAAUGGAUUCCCUUUAUGAUGAUAAAAAGGUUUUGGUAUUUAUUUUAUGAUGAGAGAUUAUGUGCAAAUUGAACUUUU